UUUAGCUCCAGCUGUGGCAAGAGACUGCAGACCAGUCAGCAGUUCUGCUAAAGCAAUCAUUCAGCUCUGCAGAUGUACAGCCUAUUCACAGAGGAAGACAAGGCACCAACAAUAAAACAAUUGUCAGAGAGAUGCUGCAGAAACCAGCUGUGGGACACGAGCUUUGUUAUUGUGUAUAUUAACAAUGCGCAUAAUGACAUUGGGAUCGAGGUUUUCAGUCUUUUUACAUGGGUGCUUUAGGUUGCUUUUCAUUCGUGGAGCCUUGUGUGAGGGGCAUAUUACUACAGAUCUGACCACCCCAAAGCUGGAUUGUAGGAGCACAAGCUUAGGGCAGAGAAGAAGUGGAAUGAGAGUAUGGAAACUUCUGGAGAAAAGGAAAAGCAGCAAAGAGCCAACACAAUGUAAGAAUCAAAGAAACAAUCAGGUACUCCACAAACAGAUGGAGAAACCGGUACAAAGGAGCGAAUAAAUUAUUUGCCCAAGUCUUUCAGAAGCUGACCAAUAUCAGAGCCAAGAACAAAAACCAGGUCACUUGAGUUCCAGUCAGGUGGUCUAUUUUAUAAGCUUCCCUGCCUCCGUCCUUCCAGGUUCUGUGACAGCAUUAGUUUGUCUGGACUAUAUCACAGGACAGUUGCCUCCUCCACAUACAUGACAUGGAUGCGGGUCACCUGAUGAGAAGCUCUUCAAUAUUAUAUGUUUCCUCCUUGUUUGAUGUGUGGCUUUAGACCUCAUUUACUGCCGUGCGGUCAUGCAUUUGUUCUUGGACUUUCCGCCCAUUUUCACUAUGCCCUUUCAGUUUCUACAAGAAAUGAGAGAGAGAGAGACCCCCUCCCCACCACCCCUUCCAAUAUAACCACCCACCUGUAGUGAGGACACUCUACUGAGAUGUGGUGGAAUCAAAGUUUAAGUCUCUGCUGUAAAUCAGUUAUUCAUAUUCCACUAGUGAUCCCAGUAAAUGCUCUUGCCAUUGACCAGCUAGCUAUUUUGUCAUCUUUCCCCCAUUUAAGAUGUUGGAAAAGAUUUUGUUUUGCAACAAACUACAGACAGCUUCUGAACCUUACAUUAUUUUGUGAACCAAACCUGAUCUCCAGCCAUCCUUAAAGAUGAGACUCCAACAGGUCCUGUUCCAGGCUUGUGACUAGAGUAUUAGUGAGCAUGGACAAUUCUGGCUGCUUUCUCCAAGCUUGACUUCUAUUUUACCCUAUCAACCCUGCCUCUGCCCCACAGGGCUGGUCCAAUGGUAAUCGGCAUCCUAGAUGAAGUAUGUACCUCAGUGCCCCCACCACUUCCAAUAUAGAGGAAAAUAAGAAGUCUAGAAUGAACUUUUAUGGCUCAGUCUGGGGAGCAGCAUGGAGACCGGCCCCUGCAGCCCCAGCGACAGCCCUGGCUCUGCCUCUGGCUCCAGCUCUGGCCCCGGCUCCACAGGGUGGGUGCGCUGGGCAGGAGUGAGGGGCACCACUGGCCUGGGGGCAAGGGCUGCAGGUCGGAAGUGAGCUGCACUAGCAGGGCUGGGAGCCAGGCUGGUCCAAAGUGGAGACAUAGCUGGCCAGGGUUGUUAUUUAGAAUGAUAUUCCUGUUGUUUUGUUCUGCAUAUAAUUUUGCCCCCCCGCCCCCCCCCAAUUUUGGUGCCCUAGGCGACCGCCUUGUUCACCUAAUGUUUGGACCUGCCCUGCUGUUCCAUCCCUAGCUCCUUAUUUCAGUUCCCUUCUCCUUGCCUACUGAGUAGCAGUCUUUUCAACUCAGCCUCAUUCUUCUUGCUGAACUCAUCCUAUUCUUGCCAUUUUUUACUCCCCACCAACCCCAGUCCAACUCCAGUUUAAUUGUCCCACCGGGCCCUGUCUUGUCCUGAUUUCUUGUCCUGAGUAUCUUUGUCCCACAUUGUCUUUCCUAAUUCAGUUCACCCUCCUGGACAUCUUGUACAAUCCCAGUCUCUAGCCCCCUACUUCUUUAUCCCAAUGUCUUUGUCCAGCCAGUCCCAGUUGCCCUGCCUGCCCCAACUACCUCACCAGAGCUCCUUGCCCUCUCCAGGCUCCUUGUUCAUCCCACCUCCAAGUUGGCUUUUGCUCCCUCUGUUUCAACUCAAGCACCUCCCUUCUCUGUGUUCAAAAAAGCCACACGGACAAGUGGUAAAAAGGCCUAUCCCUGCUUCACAGAGUCAGAGUAACAGAGCUGUUCCAGGAAAAAUUUCCAAGAAAAAAAAAGCAGCCCAUAGCAGACAACAGGCUUGGAAAAUUGGUCACAAAUGAUUAAAUGGGGACUAUUGAGCAACCUGAAUAAGAGAAGUUUCAUUUGAAAGGGGUGUUGUACAUGAUACUCCACAACAGUCUUUAGUUACUGGGGACAAGGGAUAACAGCCAUGAGUAUGACCCUACAACAUUGUGGGCACAUCUACACAAGAUGUUUGCUGUGGAGCUGCCUAAUUAGUUCCACGGUAAAGUCUCAGCAUACAUGCAUGUGGUCCUAUUAGGCUGCAGUAAACGAAUUAACUCUGCCAUAGUUUAAUAUCUGUAAACACAAAUACUAUCCUAUGGCAGCAUUUUUUAGUGUGUAGAUGUAGGCGUUCUUUAGUACGUAGUACAUGUAGAUGCUGACAGGGCUGGCAGGGGCCUGAGGGUGCUUCAUUAUAGGGGGUCUGCCUGCCAGCCAGCCCCACACUAGAGCACCCUCAUGCCCCAGUCAGCCUCUUUGCAACAGACUGAGCUGGGUCAAAGCAGCCCCAGGCUGGCUGGCUGACUUGUCCACCGGGGCCUCUUUCCAGCCAGCGCUGCUCUGACCUGGCUCAAUGUGCUGCAGUCCCAGGAGCAACAACUGCUGGCAUGACAUGCACUGGAAUUUAUAGCUCCAUGCUAAUAGCAUGUGUAGACGUGCUGUGUAUCAGCUGCUUUGUUCCUGCGUGCCUGAACCUUAUUCUCAGAUGCUGCAAGCCCCAGAAUAUGGGCUGCUGCUACAUGAUGAAGUGGGGGAUGGCUACCCUACCAGAGUCCCCUUACUUCCAUCCUCAGCACCCACUUGUGCAUUUGGGCAGUACCAGACAGGUUCUCACCCAGCAGGCAAAGACUUGUCUGCAUUUGUAGAAGAAAAAUAAUUUCUCUGCAACAUCAAACUAGCAGCAACAUUUUUUUCCUAAGCAGAAUUUACAAACCAUUACCCAUCACAUCCAAAGUAUUACUGGAGCUGUCAGGAGGAAGGAAUCAGUGUUGAAACAUCAUUCCACUGGGAAAUGUAAAAUGGCAACAAGUUGGUCCCUCUACAGCGUGUCCAAUACUUAAUAUAAAAUGAUGUACAACUAACCUGCAAUGAGUUCUGAGCAGCAGCUCUCUUCUGGGAUGCUCAGUUGUGGUUUUCUUGAUUGUUCUGAAAAAUAGCUUUCUGGGGUUUUUUACAUAGAUUAAUGAAAAAGCCAUGUUGUCUUCAGCUGUGAAUGUAAGCGUGGUAGGAUUAUGUUUCAUCCUUCCUAAUUGUUUCAUUAAAGCUGUGAUUUUCUCCAUGUUUUAUUUCCUUAUGCCCCUUUCAACCUGUGCCUUCAAGCCAACUGGCAGUAUUGACAACUAAAUAUUGAUGCUGUGGUCAAGCCCAGUUCCCUCACCCUUUCCUCCACCCAUGACUUCUUUGUAUCUCUCCCAUCACACAGUUUCCCCUCCAACUUCAUUUUAUACGCAGUAUCUAACUCAUUUGCUUUUGCUCAUGGGCCAUGUCUAUAUAAUGUCCAGUGAGUCUACAGAUGAUUUCAGUUUUGUGCUAUUGUUUUCUCUGUCAAAAAGCCUUUUCUCCUCCCAUACCCACAAACCAAGUUGCUCUCUUGAAACCCUUCUAGCCUCCUCCACUUCUUUUUAUGAGGUCUUGUCAUUCUUUUCCACGAGACUUAUAGGAUAAAACAACAUUUCUCCCUUUCUCCAUUCUGACUCCGAGGACUUUAACACACUGUCUGCCUUCUAAUUCCUUUCUGCUGCCCCUGAAAUCCCAUCCUUUCCUGGGCAAUUGCUCUUCCCCUCUUCCAUUCUUCUGGUUCAUUUCCUCAAAAUUCAAUCAUGUCUAGUUUGGUGUUAUGAGGAGGAAUUUUUCUUCGUAAAGCCAACACUAUUUUUCUUAGAAUUUGCAACCCAUUACCCAGGACAUCCAUUGUAUUGCUGGAGCUGUCCCUACCUGGUUCUUCAACCAUCUUCUCACAUCUCUUUUCUUCUUCACCUCUAAACUCACUGAACAUGCUGCUAAAACCAGUUAUCUUAAAUUCCUCACUCUCCCCCACUAUUCUGGAUCCUUUCCCUCUUUUCUCUACCGUAACUACAGCCAGUGAGCUAUCUAUCCUCCUCAUCUCCAUCCCCCUCAAUACCUCCAGUACUUUUAAGGGGCAGCUAUUUUUGUGAUAUCUUUUAUUAGACCAACUGUAUAGUUGGGAGAGCUGUUGGACAAGCUUUUGGGCAUCAGAUAUCUAUAUUCAGGUCACUUUUGGGCACUUGAUUACUGAAAGCUUGUGCAAUAGCUCUCCCAACUAUAUGGUUGGUUCAAUAAAAGAUAUUGCUGUACAAUAAAUCAUUGCCUCUUGGACACUUGCUGGACUAUCAUGGCUACAAUAGCACUCUAACUCCCCUCCUUUUGACAACUUCUGAUACUUUCUCAGCAGUUUGUGCUCUGUCCUCUCCUGGUUAUAUUUGGACACCUCUGCCUCUUCAUAGGACCUGCUGCUCUCUUCUGUUUUCUGUCAGGUUUUCCUUGGCCCCCUCCAUUUUUCCUUUCAUAUCCUUUCUCUGUGUGACCCCGUCAGUUGAUAUGGCCUCAGUGACCAUCUUUAUACUGAUAGCUGAUAAAUACAGCUCUAAAUUCUGGACUUCCUCCCCAAAGUGUCUCCGGUUCCUGGAUGCAUCAGAGGGAAUCAGACUCUAUUUUUCCUCCAAAGCCUUCUCCAUCAGGGUUUGAACAUAUCAACCAGUCACCUUCACCUUUGGUUCCUCUAUGCUCUCAUCCAAGUUGUAUCUGAAUUCUGUCAUUUUUCUGUAUAACCCUACUAAAAACCAUUGCUUCAUGUCUAUUCAGGCACCAAAAUAACUUACUCAGGGUCUCGCCAUUUCUCACGUGGAUGACUGCAACCUCCGCCACUUCGUCCUCCUUGACACUCAAUGCACCUCUAUGCAUUUCUCAUAUUGUAACCUGUCCAGUGCAGGGGACAAACCCACUGCUUCUUCCACUAGGGACUCUCUUUUGCCCUGCCACAAUAAUCUGUUUACUUCAAAGGAAGUUAAGCAUGUGUUUUGCUCAAUCAGGAUGCUUAAUGAAAAGCAAACUGCUGAAAUAUAUACUUUGCUCAAGGUAGGAGAGGAAACAAAUGAGUGUCGUGCAGUAGCAUGCAGAGGUGGCAACAGCUUUGGCAGUUCAGGAGAAGAGACCUAUGAGGAAGAAAUGAAGGGCGUCUAGAGAAUAUGGUGCUGCCAGGAGAUUCGCUGAUGUGGCAGGAAAAAAGGAGAGAAGGACAAAUGAAACCUUGACUGAAGACACUCAAAAGGAAUCAGUGGACUGUCAGGUUGGUGACCUUUAAUAAAUGUAAUAAAGUGGCAAAUUAUGGGAGCCAACCUCACGGGCUGAUGACAGCAAUAGUAGGGGCAGUAAGGGAAGGUCUUUAAACUGGGGCCUCUUCUCCUUUUGAGGCUGAUCUUUCAAUAGAAAUAUUACAGGAAAAGCACAUAUGUACAGGACACUUGUUCUAUUUAACUGCCUCCUAUUUAUCUUGCACUUCUAUGUAAAUUCAGUCGAGUUAUUUGAACAUAACUGUAGCAGAAAAUGCAUUUCCUAUGUGUCCCAAGCACUUGUAAAAAUUAGAUCCUAGUCUAGCUCAUCUUUACAGUGUAGUAGAAGUCCUAGGGCAGGAAUUUUCCAAUACCUAGUAGACAUUAUUGCCUAUUAAGAUGAUCUGUUGCAACUACUGAUCCUCCCUCAGGAUACAGUGGAGAGUUACUCCUUAUGUAUUAUUUAGGUAGCGCUCUACACUGGGUAAAAUAUAUAUGGUGAUCCUGAAAGGAUUAUUUUUGCACUUCGCUGUGUUCAGGUUAUUUCACUUGCUACUGUAAUGUUUGUUUUUGUGGGUUUUUCAUCAGACUGUUCUUUAGUGGGUAGUUUGUACCGCAUAGUAUGUCACAUGUGACUUUUGAGGAAAAAAAAUAAUACAGAUAAAAUUGAAAUGGAACAGAUUUCCUUAAAAGAGAUAAAGAGAGAUGUUUGUCACUCAGCCUGUAAAUCAGUAUACAGUAUAUUUGCAUAAUGCAAGUAUCAUACUGCUUUUUUAUAGUGUUUGUAUUUGAAAACCAAGUACAGUGGAAGUUAAAAAUUCUCCCUGGGCUUUCUGGCAUUAGGCUCUUUUAUUUAGGCUAUAACUUCAUGCUGUUUAGACUACAAAGGGCCUGGUUUUCACUAAUGUGAAGGCCUCUUACGCUAUCUUGGCAGAGUGAAGGAGUGUAAUGGAAAGAAGACUUAUCACAGAGUGGACUGAAUUUUCUGGGCAAGUUGUCCCAUUUAUCAGACCUACUUGUACCCAUUUAUCUGCAUUUGGGUAACUCGGCUUACCUGGGAGGGUGGCUAGGUCAGGGGUUGCUAUGAAGCUGACGGAGGUCUUCUCUGACCUGGGAUUUACCUGCAGUGAGGGCUGGGUUUUAAAAAAAAUGUUAAGAAGCAACUGGGGAGGCUAAACAGAAGGGCUUGGUGCUUGCAGAAGGCAAUAGCCCCUGCUGCAGAGCAUGGAUGGAAUUUGCCCCGUAAGGGGGGAAGGAAUCUCUCUUCUAUACCUGUGUUGAGGAUGGGUUUGAUCAGACAGGGGAAGCCCCAUUGCAAGGUUGCUGCAUGUCUGGUCUGGUUUUGUUGAGUGAAACCAGACCUUAGCAAGAGUGAGUAUCUGACGUGUGAUAUCUGAGCCAGUUUUGAGAACCCCAAGACUGGAGGGCCAUGAAGCAGAUGCGGGGGUUCAUGCUGGAUGAGGUGUUAUAAAGGUAAUUGCAACUUCUGGUUUGGUAGUAUAUUUCCUGGGUGAUAUAAAAAGUCUGUAACUAUCUCUUUGAUCUACUCAGUAACUAUGCAGCCUUCCUGCAGUAAAGACAGUGUAUAGAGCAGAGAACAAAAUGGGGCUAGAUCAUAGUCCUCCAGGCUUCUGCUCAUUCCCUGCCCUGGGAGUGGAAGUAAUUAUACUCUACCCUUUCCCAGGAGCCAGGCACCCUGUGAGCUACUGAGUGGGCAGGCAGAGCUAGGAUGCCUAGCUCACUCAGCAGGUGGAGGAGUAUUGGUUAGCUAGGUGUCUUUUCCUUCCAAACUGUCCCCCAGGGUAAUUACUAAUAUUACUAAAUAUUAGUAAUAAAGUCAUAAUCUGAGAAAGGUGAAGCAAGUGAUGAAGGGGCUCUGCUCCCUUAGAUUGCUGAGCCCAGGCCUCCUUUUAGAUGAACGAUAACCCAAGGAUUAGUUCACUAACUUGGUCUUUGCAGACUCUGUUCAAAUCCCUACUUCACCAUAGCUUUCCUCUGUGUAAGUCACUUCACCUUGGUGUGUGUCAGCUGCCCAUCUGUAAAAUGGAGAAUAGCCCUCCCUCCUCUCACGGGGCAAUGUGUGAGAACGAUUAUAUUAAGGAAUGGGAAGUGCUCAGAUCUGUAGUACCAGAGGCCAGAGAAGCCCCAUAGAUAAAAUAAAAUAAAUACAUCAAUAAAAUAAAUCCUUCUGUGACACUCUAGCUCUUUAUUUUAAAAUAAAAUGCAGAAAGCCUUUUUUCCCUAAGUUUCUCUAUGACUUCUGCAGAGUUGGUUCAUCUGUGCAGACCGUGAAGUCUGUGAUUUGAUUAGGGAGGCCAAGAUGCUAACAACUGAACAGGAACAGCUAUACAUUUGUUCCAUUAACACGUAACUCAUUUGCCCUUGAAUUGGCUCCAUUUGCUGUUUCUGAUACUGGAAACAAAUCCUAAAUACAUGAGUGAGGCAGGGAAGAGAAGGAAAUAUUAAUAAGUAAUGUUGUGUUUUAUGGGUUGGAAAUUCUGCUCUUGGAGCUCUUGGUAGAGGUGAUCAGGCACUCCAGGGGGCCAUCGCUUCAUGUGGCACAAUGGACCAAUUCUGCAAUGCAUUGGAUUCACUAAACCAUUUAGAACAAAUAUAAAGCUGUAUGGAUUUGGGUUUCUUAUCUGAGCAGGAAAAAAAAUAUGCCUUAAUGUGGAACAUCUUGAUCUGAAUGCAGACUAUUAAUUUUGGUGGUCAUUGUCAAAGGGGUUUUUGCUGUGGGUUAUUUUUUGGCUUUUCACAUGUGGCGAGUUAAAGUGUUGGCUCUAGUCCUGAGUGAA